AGGGAGGCGCUACACGGAGACAGACACGCCGACUUAUUCACAUACGCGAAGGGAUUACCUCGGGUGCCGGCCACAGAGAAGCACGACCGCCCCGCUCAGUCCGUCACGCACACGCACUAAAACACGGACAAGAGACACACGUUGACGGCUUGGAUCGCCGAGUUGCUAGAAGCUCUACGGCACUGAACACCGCCGCGACAGACACGUGAAAGGCAAUACGGCUCGGCAUACAACCUGAACAGGCCGUAAUGGAGUGUUGGUGUACCACGCAUCACAUCCGCGAAUUGCUGGAUGAGUUUGUGGUUGAGUUUCUUCGCGCCGAAGCGGCGUCGGCGCCAGUAGAAUUGCAUCCAGAACUGAAAGGCGUUGAUGCUUCCGGUACUCGUGCAACUGCAUUCGCGGCGCCGCCUUCAGCACAGGUAUACGGCGAGCUUUACAAGCGCGCUGGUGGAGAAGCCUACGCAUACCACGCGGGUGAGCUCUUAGAGAAGUCGUCUUUCCAGCCGACCAUCGCUGCUCUCCGUGCCUUCUUGCAAGGCAAGAAGGAUGCGAAGGCGAUGUGGCAGUCGGCGCACCCAUACAUCGUUGUGCUUGUCGAAGGUGGCCUAGCAGCGUGUGAGCCAUGCGAAGCUUCAGCCUCAUCCUUGUCGCUCCCACCGCAGCUGCAGCCUGCUGAGCAGCCGCCGACGGAAGCGUCGCUCUCAUCCACCGUUCCGUCAGCGCAGAGGGCGGCCUUUUCCGCUAUUGUGGCGGCGGCAGCGCAGUCCGUUGCCCGUGGCAUUGGCGGGCUCGUGCAUUCGUCGAUGCCUGCGAUGCUGCCCGAGCAGGAUGCGGUCGCGCGCCAGCUUCAUCGACCGCUGCAGCAGCAACAGCAGAAGAAGUUACUCCAGCAGCUCGAGCGGGACGUAGCGAGCAGGACCGGUGCACCCAUGGUGGGCACCGCAUCGUUUGCAGGUGGUGGCGGCGCUGCUGCUACUGCUGCGCAGUCCACCCCGGAAGCGGCGUAUGCAUCAGCGGCCGCGCUGCGCACACCAGUUGUGCUUGUCGGCGAAUGGUGGCCCUACACCAUCGCGGAUGGUCUGGCGGUGGAGGGGCUUCUGGGCUCUCCAGUCGCGGUCUUCUCCGUGUCGAUGAACGAGAAGGGCACAGCAGAGGAGAGCAGCGCAGGCAACAACAGCUGUGACUCCUCAUGCGGAGCUUCAUUAACGCUCUUGCAGCUCGCAUCCCGGUGCGGCUCAAACGCGCACGCAGCGCUCUUAGAGUACUACGCCGCCAAGAAGAAGCUGACGGCGCUGACGGUGCCGGCCAGUGUCUGCCGCGCUGUGGCGCAGGAGGCAUCGCCGCACGAUUUCGAGCCAGGUACGGUGGCAAGGGCAGCUGCGGAGUCGCUGGCAGAGCAGAUUGCACGCCAUUUGCGUUAGAGCCUUCACCCACCGUAGCGAGGGGUCGGGGCGGCGAGCACGAACGACCAUUACAGGAGCUCAUACGCCGCCCCUCCCCCCUCGUCCCUUCGAUGUGCCUUCGUUUUCUUCGCUUUUUCUUCGACACUGCUGCCCCCCCCCCCCCCCCCCCCCAACACACACACACACACACACACCGUGGCGCGCAG
rnacentral:misc_RNA from 1 species